GAUGAACGCUGGCGGCGUGCUUAACACAUGCAAGUCGAACGGAAAGGCCCAAGCUUGCUUGGGUACUCGAGUGGCGAACGGGUGAGUAACACGUGGGUGAUCUGCCCUGCACUUCGGGAUAAGCCUGGGAAACUGGGUCUAAUACCGGAUAGGACCACUUCUUGGAUGUUGUGGUGGAAAGUUUUUUCGGUGUGGGAUGAGCUCGCGGCCUAUCAGCUUGUUGGUGGGGUAAUGGCCUACCAAGGCGUCGACGGGUAGCCGGCCUGAGAGGGUGUACGGCCACAUUGGGACUGAGAUACGGCCCAGACUCCUACGGGAGGCAGCAGUGGGGAAUAAUGCACAAUGGGCGCAAGCCUGAUGCAGCGACGCCGCGUGGGGGAUGACGGCCUUCGGGUUGUAAACUCCUUUCGCUAGGGACGAAGCGUUUUGUGACGGUACCUGGAGAAGAAGCACCGGCUAACUACGUG
rnacentral:rRNA from 1 species